AACUACUAGGGAGGCUGAGGUGGGAGGAUCACUUGAUCCCAGGAGUUUGAGGCUGCAGUGGGCUAUGAUUGUACCAUUUCAUGCCAGCAUGGGUGGCAGAGUAAUAGCUUAUCUUUAAAAGAGAGAGAGAGAGAGAAUAGUAGAUUGUUAACAAAAAACACCGAAGAAUAAAUACAUUUUCCUUAUCUAAAUCUUGUCAGUGGGUCCAAUCUUAGAAACAAACUGAGAUUGCUUCCUCAUUCAUAACUCUUCCCCCAAUAGUGAUGUCUGGAUUUGAGGAAGGGAAAACAGGGAAUAAAGAAGUGACGUGAGACAUUUUUCAUUCUGUUUUCUCCCUUCUCCAGAUCUGGUCAUGCUUUAUUUAUUAUGUGGUCUGUUAGGAACUGCUGUCUUUUUUCAUGAACUUACCUUCCUGAACACUGUGAUGCUUCUAGGAAUGGGCACUUGGUUCAAGCAAGCCAAAUAGAAUCCUUCUCUUGAGUUUUUGGAGCUGAAGAAAGAGGCAAAAGCCUUUUCUCCAUGGAUAGUGAGCUGGAAAUCUGCUGAAUCACUCCAGCCCCUGGGCAGAGAAAGCACAUUUUCAGGACAAGAAUUUAAAGCCAAUCCGUACAAAGAAGCAGAGAUCAGAAACAGACAAUUCUGAUAGUAUUUGGACCCCUGGUUAUUUUUUCUGAGACCACUCCCAAAGCUUCCUUGCUUUCCAACGCAUAUUUGUUAGAGCUUCUUCUGGUUCUUAUUGGAUGCAAUCGAAGCUCUUGAGUCUGACAAUCUGGCAUUUCCAGCACCAGUCAGCCUUAUCUUGCUUCUAGCUUCCCAGUCAAGAGUUGCCUUCUCCCAGAUGCCAUGCUCAUUUUCGAUUGUGCAGUUUUCUUGAAUGACCUCUUGCCUCCUCUCUCCAUAAUACUAAUUCUUGCCUCUCUUCAGGGUCUAGUUCAACAUUUAUCUGCUCUACUGAACCCUUCUUGAUUGAUCUUUUCCUUCUCUGAACUACCAUACCCCUUGUAUUCCCAGCUUUUCUAUAUUGUCUGAAACAGAUUUAUCUUUCUGCCUUGGUUUGUUUUCCUGUGUAUUUUGUGUGUAAGUGUGUGUGUGUGUGUGUGUGUGUGUUUAUUUACUUACAAAGUUGUUAGUUCCUUGAUUUGUUUGAACACGACCCUUUAGGGUGAGGAGUGGAGGAGAAUUGAACUGAUCUACAUAAAAAAGAGAGCAGAGGUCAGCAAAGCCUAAGUUCUCUCCUCUCGCUUUCCUCUGGAGAGUGGGACAGCAUGAGCUUCACCAAUCACUCUACUUUCUCCACAAACUACCAGGCCCUGGGCUCUGUCCAGGUGCCACUUAAAGCAUCUGGCUGGUCAGCAGCAUGGCCACCGUCUAAGCAGGUGCCUGGGGCUCUGGUUCCCGCAUCUCCGUGUCUUGCUCCACCAGCUUCCGGGUGGCAUGGGGUCCGGGGGCCUGGCUGCAGGGAUGGCCAGGACUCUGGCAGGAAUGGGAGGCAUCCAGAACAAGAAGGAGACCAUACAAAGCCUGAGUGACCACCUGGCCUCCUACCUGGCCAGAGUGAGGAUCCUGGAGACCAAAACUGGAAGCUGGAGAGCAAAAUAUGGGAGCACCUGGAGAAGAAGCGACCCCAGGUCAGAGACUGGAGCCAUUACUUCAAGACCAUCAAGGACCUGAGGGCUCAGAUCUUCACAAAUACUGUGGACAAUGCCCACAUUGUUCUGCAGAUCGACAAUGCUCAUCUUGCUGCUGAUGACUUUACAGUCAAGUAUGAGACACAGCUGGCCAGGCACCAGUCUAUGAAGAGUGACAUCCAUGGGCUCCACAAGGCCAUUGAUGACACCAAUGUCAUUUGGCUGCAGCUGGAGACGGAGAUCGAGGCUCUCAAGGAGGAGCUGCUCUUAAUGAAGAAGAACCAUGAAGAGGAAGUAAAAGGCCUGCAAGCUCAGAUCGCCAGCUCUGGGUUGACCGUGGAGGUAGAUGCCCUCAAAUCUCAGGACUUUGCCAAGAUCAUGGCAGAUAUCUGGGCCCAAUAUGACAAGCUUCCUUGGAAGAACCAAGAGAACCUGGACAAGUACUGGUCUCAGCAGAUUAAGGAGAGCACCACAGUGGUCACCACACAGUCUGCCAAGGUUGGAGCUGCUGAGAUGACACUCACAGAGCUGAAACAUGCAGUCCAGUCCUUGGAGAUCGACCUGGACUCCAUGAGAAAUCUAAAGGCCAGCUUGGAGCACAGCCUGAGGGAGGUGGAGGCCUGCUACGCCCUGCAGAUGGAGCAGCUCAACAGGAUCCUGCUGCACCUGGAAUCAGAGCUCCCACAGACCCGGGCAGAGGGACAGCGCCAGGUACAGGAGUAGGAGGCCCUGCUGAACAUCAAGGUCAAGCUGGAGGCUGAGACCGCCACCUACCGUCGCCUGCUGGGAGAUGGCAAUCUUGGUGAUGUCCUGGACAGCAGCAACUCCAUGCAAACCAUCCAAAAGACCACCAUCAGCUGGAUAGUGGAUGGCAAAGUGGUAUCUGAGACCAAUGACACCAAAGUUCUGAAACAUUAAGCCAGCAGAAGCAGGGGACCCUUUGGGGAGCAAGAGGCCAAUUAAAAGUUCAGAGGUCAAAAAAAAAAAAAAAAGAGAGAGAGCAGAAUAUGAGACUCUUGCAAGCAAUCCAGAAAGGGAGAAAUGAAGACCAGAGAUGGAAGUUUGGGAGAAAGGAGGAGAGUGGAGCAGCGAGCACUGGAGGUUGUAUAUAGCCUGAUGUGAUUAUUUUCCAUGUUCCCAGUUCCUCAGGAAAUUAAAGCAAACUCAUAAAACGCUUGGAGAACAUGCAUAUUUUAUGGAAACUGAUGAAGGGAUAGAGUUCUGGCUUGUCAAGGGGGAAAACUGAGGAAACACACAUGAAUGCAGGUGCUGUAGGCAGAGUGGCCAUGAAAGAUACCAGCCCUUGGGGAUCUGCAGAAAACAUGAGGAGUUUCAAGACCUAACCAUGUCUGGAUUGGGGGUUCAAGCCAAAGGGCAGGAUGUCUCAACAAUCAUCUGGGUUAUAAGUGUUUAUUCAUUUGGUAGUAGGCAAAUUACUCCUGCCUUCCCAUGUUGAUAAUAAAUCCCAUGAGUAGAGUCCAUGCUGUCUCUCCUAUCUCAAAUUCUCUCACACUGGGUCAAGCUCAAAGUAAUUAUAUCCCUUGCCUCUCCACUUUCUAUUGCCUUCUCUUUGUCAAUGUUGGGCUGAUAACUGAUACAAUUUUGCUUUUAUCAGGUCGGUUUCCAGAUCUAUAGAAGAAGGAGGAAAAAGAGGAGAGGGGAAGAGUGGGCCCUGUUAUUGCUCUCCACAUGUUAAACUCCUGAUGGUGGCCAGAUUCCUUCAUUAUCUGGCUUCAUUCCAUUUAUCUAACCUCAUCUGCUUUUGCCCACUUGGUUCUUCUUUCCCGGAAUAUUGAGUUCCUCUCUGUCUACUGACAUAGCAUGAAGAGUUUCAUCUCAGUGUCUAGCAAGAGACGGAGUUCCUCCAAGAAAUCUAUUUGACUCCCAAUCACCAAUUACCUUUCUUUCACACUUUUAAUUGCAUUUCUAUUUAGUACUACGUCCCAUGACAUUCAUUAUUGUUCUCUUGGUGACUUUAUGAUGGCCAGUCUUCUCAUAAUCAGCUUGAGGACUAAAAUGGUGAUUUGCAGUUCUCAUGUAGUAGGUACUUAGUACUUACUCAGUGUUUUGUAAGUCGCUUCCCUAAAUGAGUUCACCAAGGUCAGGGGCUUUGUUUUGUUUCCUACUCUUUACCCAAAGCUAGAACUUGCCUAGGAAAUAGUGAGUACUCAAUGAAUAUUUAUUGAAUGAAUUAAUGAAUACUGAAUUAAUGAAUGCCAACCUUUAUGAAAUACAGUAGUGCAGAACAAUAUGUUUUCUUUGCCUUUCCCACAUAUUAUUUCAGACUUUUUCAUCUCUCCCUUAACUCUAUUAUAACUCCUUUGUUGAAUUUUUCAGUCUUUUAGAUAAUUUCAAAUGGCAUUAUCUAGCUCCUUCAGUGUAGUAUCAGUCACUCUUAUUUCAAAUCGCGUUUGUGCCAAGUUUAAUCCAUUUAUACUGAAAGAGAAAACAGGGUAGCCCUGUAGAUGCGUGGGCUGCUCCUUCAUGUCUACACUCCCUUGAGUGUAUCUCAACACAGAAAACAUGGGAAUUGGGCAUGUCUAUAGCAAAAUGAAAUCUCUCUAGAGAGGUACUAUUUUCAUAAACGGAAAUGUUCAAUAUCAUAAAGAUAUCAAUAAUCCUCAAAUUCAUAUAUGAAAAUCGGUUCCAAGUCCAAUCAAAAUCCCAACAGAGAAUUUUAUUUAGUGAAAGUUAAUAAUUGAUUCCAGAAUUCACUCGGAACAAAAGGUGGUGAAAAGCCAAGGCAGUUUUAAAGAAGAAUGAAGGAAAGGCAAUUUAGUUGUUAAUAUAUGAGGAUUUAUUGUGAAGCCAUAUUAAUUAAUUCAAAGUGAUGUUAGUGUAGGAAUAGACAAACACACUAAACAGAACAGAGGGCCCAAUAUACAUUUUUAUAUCUAUGGAAGUGACACUACAAAUUAGUAUGGGGCUGGUGGGCACAGUGGCUUUUGCCUGUAAUCCCAGCACUUUUCGAGGCAGAGGUGGGAGAAUUGCUUAAGCCCA